CAGUAAAUAACAAUAGCAGGGCUAUAUACAGGGGGUACCGGUACAGAGUCAAUGUGGAGGCUGUAUACAGGGGGUACCGGUACAGAGUCAACGUGGAGGCUAUAUACAGGGGGUACCGGUACAGAGUCAACGUGGAGGCUAUAUACAGGGGGUACCGGUACAGAGUCAAUGUGGAGGCUAUAUACAGGGGGUACCGGUACAGAGUCAAUGUGGAGGCUGUAUACAGGGGGUACCGGUACAGAGUCAACGUGGAGGCUAUAUACAGGGGGUACCGGUACAGAGUCAAUGUGGAGGCUAUAUACAGGGGGUACCGGUACAGAGUCAAUGUGGAGGCUAUAUACAGGGGGUACCGGUACAGAGUCAAUGUGGAGGCUAUAUACAGGGGGUACCAGUACAGAGUCAAUGUGGAGGCUAUAUACAGGGGGUACCGGUACAGAGUCAAUGUGGAGGCUAUAUACAGGGGGUACCGGUACAGAGUCAAUGUGGAGGCUAUAUACAGGGGGUACCGGUACAGAGUCAAUGUGGAGGCUAUAUACAGGGGGUACCGGUACAGAGUCAAUGUGGAGGCUAUAUACAGGGGUACCGGUACAGAGUCAAU